rnacentral:rRNA from 1 species
GGACGAACGCUGGCGGCGCGCCUAACACAUGCAAGUCGAACGGAGCUUUGAGAGCUUGCUUUUAAAGCUUAGUGGCGAACGGGUGAGUAACGCGUGAGUAACCUGCCCUGGAGUGGGGGACAACAGUUGGAAACGACUGCUAAUACCGCAUAAGCCCACGGCCCGGCAUCGGGCUGAGGGAAAAGGAUUUAUUCGCUUCAGGAUGGACUCGCGUCCAAUUAGCUAGUUGGUGAGGUAACGGCCCACCAAGGCGACGAUCAGUAGCCGGCCUGAGAGGGUGAACGGCCACAUUGGGACUGAGACACGGCCCAG